rnacentral:rRNA from 1 species
UGGAGAGUUUGAUCCUGGCUCAGACGAACGCUGGCGGCGUGCUUAACACAUGCAAGUCGAACGGUAAGGCCCUUCGGGGUACACGAGUGGCGAACGGGUGAGUAACACGUGGGUAAUCUGCCCUGCACAUCGGGAUAAGCCUGGGAAACUGGGUCUAAUACCGAAUAGGACCACAGAACACAUGUCCUGUGGUGGAAAGCUUUUGCGGUGUGGGAUGGGCCCGCGGCCUAUCAGCUUGUUGGUGGGGUGAUGGCCCACCAAGGCGACGACGGGUAGCGGCCUGAGAGGGUGUCCGGCCACACUGGGACUGAGAUACGGCCCAGACUCCUACGGGAGGCAGCAGUGGGGAAUAUGCACAAUGGGCGAAAGCCUGAUGCAGCGACGCCGCGUGGGGGAUGACGGCCUUCGGGUUGUAAACCUCUUUCACCAUCGACGAAGGUUCGGGUUUUCUCGGAUUGACGGUAGGUGGAGAAGAAGCACCGGCCAACUACGUGCCAGCAGCCGCGGUA